CUAAAUCUAAUUAAUUCUCCCACUACACCACUUCACGUCUUCACCUCCCCACCAAAAUUCCCUCACUUUCACUAAUCACUACUAACCUAAUUGUAAUUCACGCCAAAUUAAGAGGAUCUCAUCUCCACUUUCACCUUUUGCAGCUAGGGAUCGAAACCCUGGAAGCCGCCCGCCACUGAGCACCCUAGCGUCGCCCGCUGCUCUGCACCCUAGCGGCGCUGCCCACCGCUCUUCUCCAUCAGUCGCGGCACGCCGCUCUGCACACCCUAGCGCCGCCGCACGCUGCUUGCUCCAUAUGCCGCCGCUCGCCGCUCUGCUCCAUCAGCCGCUGCACGCCUCCGCCAAAAUCGUAUCAUUUUCCUUCCAACCCCUCUGUUCCAGACCCGCUACAGGGCGAUUUUCCAGAAGUAAUAGAGGAGUAUUUGGAGUAUAUCAGUAAUGGCGAGUGAAGGAUGCCCGAGUUAUUAAUAUUUCUUGGCAGACUUCCUUAGUCCUUAGCUUCUUUAACAGAUCUAUUAGUGUGAUUUUGUUAUGUACAUUUGUGUUUUGUGUUGGUAUAUGUCAGUUUUUUUUUGGUGAAAUAUAUGUCGAAACUGUGGAGCCGCCCGCCGCUGAGCACCCUAGUAUAUUACUGCGGAUCGAUACUAUAUUACUAGUAUAUUACUUUGUUCUUCCGUAUAUUACAAUGUUGAUUUUCUCAAAAUUUUGUUAGGAUUUGUGUGGAAUGAUGAUUGCUGAUCCUCUCUUCCUAUUCUUUUCGCUUAUCAGCAUUUGCAAUUGAGGGCCAACUCAAAUAUAAAGGCAAAUGGUUUUUAUCACUACGAGAUUUGACAAGAAAAUUGAAGGAAUAGCUGAACCAGAUGUCAAGAUGCAGUUAACCAAUGCGUUGGAUUACUUUUCGUCAACAAAGCUUUGUAGAAAUUAGUAGUGUUUGAUCUAUUAUGUAUUUUUUUUUUUUUGUUAUUGUGACAUAAAUAAUGUGUACUUUGAUAUUAUUGAUAAAGUAAAAGUUUUUAUAUUAUCAUGUUA